rnacentral:rRNA from 1 species
AGCAGCCGCGGUAAUUCCAGCUCCAAUAGCGUAUAUUAAAGUUGUUGCAGUUAAAAAGCUCGUAGUUGAAUUUCGGGAUCAAUUUGCUGGUCGAGACCUCUGGUACGUACUGGUAUUAUUGAUUUCUUUCAUUCUGAUAGAUCAUUGAUGUCAUUAAUUUGAUGACUUUGAGGAAUCGGAACUUUUACUUUGAAAAAAUUAGAGUGUUUAAAGCAGGCUUAUUAGGCUUGAAUACAUUAGCAUGGAAUAAUGAAAUAGGACGAUUGAUCCUAUUUUUGUUGGUUUCUAGGAUUGACGUAAUGAUUAAUAGGGAUAGUUGGGGGCAUUAGUAUUCAAUUGUCAGAGGUGAAAUUCUUGGAUUUAUUGAAGACUAACUACUGCGAAAGCAUUUGCCAAGGAUGUUUUCGUUAAUCAAGAACGAAAGUUAGGGGAUCGAAGACGAUCAGAUAC